GGCGAUGAGGACAAUUUCGCUAGCUGAGUAAUGAUGAGUACCCUCGCAACCGAGC
rnacentral:snoRNA from 1 species